CUUCGAGCCUGUUUUCCCAUCUGUUCAGAGGGAUUUAUUUCUGAGAUUCGACUCUUCCAGGAGGGAGAGGAGUCCUGGGGAAUAAAUAGACCCAGGGUACUGGAACAAGGAGCACAUAGCCGUGGAAUGCCAUUGCAGAGGAAGCCGGACAGAGCCGGAGCCAAGGUCCCCGAGAGCCAGGAUCAAGGCUUGGUUAUCUUGGACUUGGUGGCACUAAGCACAGAACUGCUGCAGGGGAGUUAGCCUGAUCUAGCCCCCAGCCUACCCUGACUUUUAGGAGAGGUUGUUGGCAGAGUAAGUGGACAAAGCUGCAUGUGUGCAUUUCUGAGUCAUGUCUUUCAGAAUCCACCUUGUAAGUUGAACUCUGCCUGCCUCGUGGAUGCUGUCGGCAUAUCUCUGACUUCGGCUAAAGUAAAUUUCAAUUACUUUAUCUUUUGGCUCUUGCUGCUUUUUAAUCCCUUCCCCCCUGAUAAGGCACAACCACAUCCAUGGCUUUUCUCCUGUGUUGGAGGAUCUGGUCUCUUUGUGUCAGAGUGAUGUGGAUCACAGAUUGGGGCUAACAGCACAUGGUAUUUCACCUCCUUGCCCAGAGUUCCAUGGCCACAUGUGCCAUAUGACUGACUCACACUUUCCCCGAAUUACGUAACUGCUGCCUGGAGCCUUGUGAUAACCCCCCUGGGACCUGCUGACAGUGCUGGGACUAUUCCUCCUGUGAAUGGCUACACACACCCUUGAUGCUUGGGUUCUUCCGAUCUCAAAGACUGAAUAGAACGUUUAAGGUUCUGAAAUCUCCCACUUCCAAGGAUUCAACUUGCCAACAUUUACUGAGUGCCCAUCAGAUGCCAGGCUCAGUGCAAGAUGUCGUCAUUUAUUUCAACCGACUCUCAACUUGUUCAGUAGGUAUUAUCAUUAUCC
rnacentral:lncRNA from 10 species